rnacentral:rRNA from 1 species
GACGAACGCUGGCGGCGUGCUUAACACAUGCAAGUCGAACGGAAAGGCCCUGCUUUUGUGGGGUGCUCGAGUGGCGAACGGGUGAGUAACACGUGAGUAACCUGCCCUUGGCUUUGGGAUAACUUCAGGAAACUGGGGCUAAUACCGGAUAGGAGCUCCUGCUGCAUGGUGGGGGUUGGAAAGUUUCGGCGGUUGGGGAUGGACUCGCGGCUUAUCAGCUUGUUGGUGGGGUAGUGGCUUACCAAGGCUUUGACGGGUAGCCGGCCUGAGAGGGUGACCGGCCACAUUGGGACUGAGAUACGGCCCAGACUCCUACGGGUGGCAGCAGUGGGGAAUAUUGCACAAUGGGCGGAAGCCUGAUGCAGCAACGCCGCGUGCGGGAUGACGGCCUUCGGGUUGUAAACCGCUUUCGCCUGUGACGAAGCGUGAGUGACGGUAAUGGGUAAAGAAGCACCGGCUAACUACGUG